rnacentral:rRNA from 1 species
UGCAGUCGAGCGCAGUCCUUCGGGACCGAGCGGCGGACGGGUUAGUAACGCGUGGGAACGUACCCAAAGGUAGGGAAUAGCCACUGGAAACGGUGAGUAAUACCCUAUGUGCCCUUCGGGGGAAAGAUUUAUCGCCUUUGGAUCGGCCCGCGUUAGAUUAGAUAGUUGGUGGGGUAACGGCCUACCAAGUCUACGAUCUAUAGCUGGUUUUAGAGGAUGAUCAGCAACACUGGGACUGAGACACGGCCCAGACUCCUACGGGAGGCAGCAGUGGGGAAUCUUGGACAAUGGGGGCAACCCUGAUCCAGCCAUGCCGCGUGAGUGAUGAAGGCCUUAGGGUCGUAAAGCUCUUUCGCCUGUGAAGAUAAUGACUGUAGCAGGUAAAGAAACCCCGGCUAACUCCGUGCCAGCAGCCGCGGUAAUACGGAGGGGGUUAGCGUUGUUCGGAAUUACUGGGCGUAAAGCGCGCGUAGGCGGACUGGAAAGUUGGGGGUGAAAUCCCAGGGCUCAACCCUGGAACUGCCUCCAAAACUAUCAGUCUAGAGUUCGAGAGAGGUGAGUGGAAUUCCGAGUGUAGAGGUGAAAUUCGUAGAUAUUCGGAGGAACACCAGUGGCGAAGGCGGCUC